rnacentral:lncRNA from 1 species
AUGGGAUCAGCAGACUUUACAGAAAGCGAUGUUUUAAUUAGAGAUUCUCUGCAAACACCGCCAGGCAACAUCUUCUCCCUUCAUUAUCUCCCCUUAAAGGGCUGCUGCUGCUUUUCAGGUCGGAGUCACUCCCGAGCCUCUCCUGCUCCGGGUGAUGCCCCAGUUCACCUUCGCCUGCUUCUGUGGCCUCCACGGCUUCUGCAAGAUGAAGAGGAAGAAGGAACAGGCCAGCGGGGGGCAGGAGACGGCCGUGUGAGGAUCAGCCCCCGCCCGGGACCCCCUCCUGUCCCCUCGAUUCUCUCCCGCAUCCCGUGGAUUCUCUCCUCAUUUCCCGUCCCUCCCUGUCCCCAGGAAGCCGGGGAAGAGCCGAAGUGUCCCUGCCCACGAUGUCCCUGCCCGUCCCGCUGCGAGCGAGAAUUCCCCCCCUGCUCCAGCAAUUCCCAGCAGAGAAACCGGGAAAAGCUCCAAAAUCCGGGCCAAGCCUCGUCCUUGCCGGAAUCCAGAGCUGGGCAGCGCCUCUGGCACGGCCAGGUCCGUCCCUGCCUCCUUCCCUCUCCCUGGAACAAUCCUGGACCUUUCCAGAAACUCGGGAUGCGCUCCGGCAAUUCCUCCCGACUUCGGAUCUUCCUCUUCUCCCCUCCAGAAGCAGCCGGACCUGAGCGCUGCUGGAGCAGAUGAAUCCCGCUGAUGGCAGUGGGAAUGAGGCGUCUAUCCAAGGAAAAUUCCAAGGGUUUUCCGUCCUCUGGAGCGGGAGGCGAGCGGUGAAGCCGAAGCCGGAGCCGUGUUCUGGCUGCUCCCGGAUUUC